GUGCUCACUUCGGCAGCACAAAUACUAAAAUUGGAACGAUACAGAGAAGAUUAGCAUGGCCGCUGCACAAGGAUGACACACAAAUUUGUGAAGCGUUCCAUAUUUUU